UACGUAGGGCGCAAGCGUUGUCCGGAAUUAUUGGGCGUAAAGAGCUCGUAGGCGGCUUGUCACGUCGGGUGUGAAAGCCCGGGGCUUAACCCCGGGUCUGCAUUCGAUACGGGCAGGCUAGAGUGUGGUAGGGGAGAUCGGAAUUCCUGGUGUAGCGGUGAAAUGCGCAGAUAUCAGGAGGAACACCGGUGGCGAAGGCGGAUCUCUGGGCCUGUCCUGACGCUGAGGCGCGAAAGCCAGGGGAGCAAACGGG
rnacentral:rRNA from 1 species